AGGAGUUAUVGACACGGAGGUGCCCGAGGUUGUGAGACCCCUUUAAAGGUCGUGCACGCCUCGAGCAUUCUUACUCCAUCCACCUCACCCCUUGUGCAUCCCCGCGUGGGCUUUCGUCUUUCGAGAGAAAGCCGGCGUCUUUACACGAACACAAAAGCAGCGUAGAAUGUUCUUUUGCAUUUCGUAAUGCAGUUAAUACAACUUUCAACAACGGAUCUCUUGGCUCUCGCAUCGAUGAAGGACGCAGCGAAAUGCGAUACGUAAUGUGAAUUGCAGAAUUCAGUGAAUCAUCGAAUCUUUGAACGCACCUUGCGCCCCUUGGUAUUCCGAAGGGCACACCCGUUUGAGUGUCGUGAAGUUCUCAACCUUUCUCUUCAUUUGAAAGAAAAGGCUUGGACUUUGGAAGGUUUUGGUGGACUUCUGAUUGAAAUCGGCUCCCCCUAAAUGGAUUAAGAGGAACCCUUUUGGGCUUGUCCUUGAAGGGAUUAGGGUUUUUCCUCCGUGGGAACUUUUAGCCCUGAAGGCUGGUUCCAAUCGUCCCCCGGGAAGCAAAUCAUUUGAACCCCUUUGGCCUUCAAUCCGGGGAAGCUUCCCGGUUAAAUUAAGGCUUUCAAUUAAGGCGAAGAACCCCGGUUUAUUGAUAGG
rnacentral:rRNA from 1 species